GAAACCUUCAGUGGAGCUAUAAGGAGCUGACUGGAUUCAACACCUAGCUUCCUUCACCAGUGCACUUCAGAACAAGAUAAAUUGAAUAAAAAAUGGUUUGACAUCUCUCUGAAUACCCAAAGCACAAGGGAAAAUGACAG